UCUCUCCAUAAAAGGAGGGGGAGUCAGUCUUUGGGGAAGGAGGGGGGCGGGUUUGGGGCACUCACCUGGCGGCUGCCACGCGCCCCCGCCCAGGAUCCGAAGCCUGGGGCAUCUGAAUGAGGACCCUCCACCCACAUUUCCACUUGGGAGCGAGCUCCAGUCGGGGGAAGGGCCUGCAGCCCGCCUCGUCCCCACCCUGGGACCCCGCGCCCCCCAGUCCCCCACUCCCGCGCCGAAGGCAGGGCCGCGCCCUGAGCCGGGAAGUCGAGGGGAUGGAAGGGAAAGGAGCCACCGGUGAGGGUCCCCCGGGUUCUGAGCCUCCCGCGUCGGGAUCCGUGGGGCGCACAGAGCGCCACCUCCGGCCGAGGCGCAGCUCAGAGCGCGAUGCGGGGGAGGAACGCGCGCGGAGGCCGAGGUCUGAGCGUGGCUAGACGGCUCCCACGCCGAGAAAGGGCGGGUGCGCCUGGGCUGGAUGGAUUUCGCCUCCCUAGACCAGGAGGGAUUGGACCCUGACUACAGGUCCAGGUGCUCGUCAGUGCCCUGCCAGGGGGUCUACGCGUCCUGGUACCGGGUCCAGCGGGGUGGCGUGCUGUGCAGACCCCGAGGCUAGACGGCCUAGGCCCCUGGAGCCCAGGAGACGCUUCCUUGGGGGGAACUUGCGGCUUGGGAGGGGACACCCACUGGAUGGCUUCUGGAAAGAGCCGGACUCGCAGGGCCAGGAGGCAGGCCGGACCCCGGCCUCAUUCUUCGGCCAGUUAUCCCGGAGUGGCGCGCAUCCUGUCUUCCUGGGCCUCGGACUGCUCGCGCGCAGAGGGGGCCCGAGGACACCUCUGUGGGGUUAGAGGACUCGGUAAGACGGUGUGGAAGGCAAGGAGGAAGGUCGCGUUGUAUUGGGGAUGGGGUACCCGUCCCUCCCAGCUUGAGGGAUCCUGGGGGUCCUCGCCGCCUCUGAGGGCCUAGAUGGCUGCUUCCCUCGGCUCCCCUGCCCGGCCUGGAGCUACGGGUGCGCCCAGCUAGAGUUUAGGGCCACCUGGGGACGUGCAAGGGGCGCUGGAGCGAGGCGGGGGCUGGGGCGGGGCGUGGGUGCUUCACCCGCGGGGGACGCAGAGCUUAGGCGAAAGCGGUGCAGGCAUCUCUCUAAUCGCCGGCCGCUAUUAAAAAUAAAACCGCGACCCGUCGCCAUGACGACCACAACAACAGCGGCCGCGCGAGGGAGGCGAAAACUUGUGCAGCCGCGCGACAGCCGCCUUCUGGGGAGACUCGGGGCACGGCGCACCCGGCGUGGGACUGCGACCCCCCUGCCCGGCCCCGCCACAUUCUCCGCCGGAUCCCCGGAAGAAACAAGGAGACGUGGACCCCCACAGGCUUUUUGGGGGGAUUGGGCGCUGAAACCGCAGGGCUGACUUAACCAAGAGGUCACCGACUUGGAUAAAAAACCCACGCCCGCGCGGCCCCCCCUCCCCGGCCUUCGUUUCCAUUCAAACUCCCAGCGUCCUCAUUGCAGCCCCUGGGGAGGGGGACGGAGGGACGAGGUGGGUUUCAGGUGCUCGGCCCAGGAGGGGACGGUGCGACCCGGGCCCCGCCGGCGGGUUUUGCGCGCGGAGGCUGCAGCACCUGCCCCGCCCGCCCUGCCGCGAUCCUUGCAGAUGGGGGCGGUCACAUGCUUCUUUCUGGCCAGGAAUCGAGUUUCACUUCCAGCCGCUAUUAGUCGGUUCACACAGUUCACUGCAAACAUUUGAUAAUGAGGCUAAAUAUACUCCCGCGUCGGAGGAGGCGUGGGCGUCCCCGCCCAGGCCCGGGAGACAGAGGCGCGGACCCCGGGACGGAGC
rnacentral:lncRNA from 1 species